UAUGCGGGCGUAGAAGGUUCUUAAAGUUUUGGGAAGGGAAGGGGGCGCCGAAAUGGAAGGUUGGUUGGUGGUGAUACGGUUAGAGCCAAUGAAAGGGAAGGUGUGUCAGAGUGAGUUGACUGUAGAAAGAAAGAAACAAGAAACCUCGGUUUCCGUUCCCCCAAAUCCAAAAUCUGUCAUGGAAUCUCGCAAACUAGCCGCCAUACUCUCCUCCCUCAUCUCCCAACUCCUCCUCCUCCUCCUUCACAUUUUCCCAUCCAAUCCCAAUCCCAAUCCCAAUUCCCAUUCCCUACUCCCACUGCUCCUCUACUCCCAACAUCUCAACACAACCCUCGCGCUCACCCUCACCCGCAAACGCAAACGCAAACGCAAACGCAAACGCAAUUCCCUAGAAGCGCUUCUCCCAACCCCCAAUCCCCUCACCCGCACCCCAGACCCCUUCCGCAACACCUUCCUCAUGACCUCCUCCACAUUCGAGUGGCUCUCCGGCCUCCUCGAGCCACUCCUCGACUGCCGAGACCCAGCCCAUCUCCCGCCCCUCAACCUCCCCGCCCCACUCCGCCUGGCCAUCGGCCUCUCCCGCCUGGCCUCCGCCUCCGACUACCCCUCCCUGGCCGCCCGCUUCUCCGUCCCCCUCCCCGUCGCCAAGUUCUGCGUCAAACACCUCUGCCGCGUCCUCUGCACCAACUUCCGCUUCUGGCUCUCCUUCCCCCCCGACCUCCGCCAAGUCUCCCUCCCCUUCCACUCCCUCUCCUCCCUCCCCAACUGCUGCGGCAUCCUCUUCUGCGUUCGCUUCCACUCCCUCGCCGCCCAGCUCGUCGUCGACUCCUCCCUCCGCAUCCUCACCCUCGCCGCUGGCUUCCCCUCCCACAAAUCCAAUUCCCAAAUCCUCAAAUCCUCCUCCCUCUUCUCCGACAUCCAAAACGGAACCCUCCUCAAUGCCCCCUCUCGCCAAUACCUUAUCGCCGAUUCCCACUACCCUCUCCUCCCCUGGCUCAUGGUCCCCUUCCCCCACCCUCUCCCCUCUUCUCUCCAACACAACUUCAACGCCGCUCACCGCCUCAUGCGCCUUCCCGCCCUCAGAACCGCCGCCAGCUUGAGGAACUGGGCCGUCCUCUCCCAACCCCUCGCCGAGGACCCUAAGAUGACCGUCGCCUACAUCGCCGCCUGCUCCAUUCUUCACAAUUGUUUGCUCAUGAGGGAGGAUUUCUCCGCCCUCGCUUCCGAAUUUCAAGACUCCCACACUGCGCCUUCCACGCCUCAUGAUGAGCCCGUCUCUUCUCAGGCUUUGGCUUUCCGUGACUCCUUGGCCGCCAUCGCCACCAAAACUCCUCAUUCCAGUUCUUGAUUCGCUUGAGGCAGGGGGGACAGGCACGUAACAUAUAGUUUAUUGCCUAUAUCUUGCUUCAACCUGACAAUCCAGCAUACAGGACCUGUCAUGAUGACAUAUUUUCGUAAUUACAGAUCAGAAGCAUUAUAUACCUAACUGCACCAGUUACCAAAGACCUGUGGGAAAAUUCGAUUCUGAAAAGUGAAACCCCAGUUCUUGUCAUAUUCUAUGCAAAUUGGUGUGACCGUCGCCUACAUCGCCGCCUGCUCCAUUCUUCACAAUUGUUUGCUCAUGAGGGAGGAUUUCUCCGCCCUCGCUUCCGAAUUUCAAGACUCCGAGACUGCACCUUCCACGCCUCAUGAUGAGCCCGUCUCUUCUCAGGCUUUGGCUUUCCGU